rnacentral:rRNA from 1 species
UAGUCCACGCCGUAAACGAUGUCUACUAGCCGUUGGGGAACUUGAUUCUUUAGUGGCGCAGCUAACGCACUAAGUAGACCGCCUGGGGAGUACGGCCGCAAGGUUAAAACUCAAAUGAAUUGACGGGGCCCGCACAAGCGGUGGAGCAUGUGGUUUAAUUCGAUGCAACGCGAAGAACCUUACCAGGCCUUGACAUCCUGCGAAUUUGGAAGAGAUUCCUUAGUGCCUUCGGGAACGCAGUGACAGGUGCUGCAUGGCUGUCGUCAGCUCGUGUCGUGAGAUGUUGGGUUAAGUCCCGUAACGAGCGCAACCCUUGUCCUUAGUUGCCAGCACAUAAUGGUGGGAACUCUAAGGAGACUGCCGGUGACAAACCGGGAGGAAGGUGGGGACGACGUCAAGUCAUCAUGGGCCCUUACGGGCCUGGGGCUACACACGUGCUACAAUGGGUCGGUACAGAGGGGCA